rnacentral:rRNA from 1 species
GAUGAACGCUGGCGGCGUGCCUAACACAUGCAAGUCGAGCGAACCCUUCGGGGUGAGCGGCGGACGGGUGAGUAACGCGUGGGUAACCUGCCCUGUACACACGGAUAACAUACCGAAAGGUAUGCUAAUACGAGAUAAUAUAUUUUAAUCGCAUGGUUAAGAUAUCAAAGCUCCGGCGGUACAGGAUGGACCCGCGUCUGAUUAGCUAGUUGGUGAGGUAAUGGCUCACCAAGGCGACGAUCAGUAGCCGACCUGAGAGGGUGAUCGGCCACACUGGAACUGAGACACGGUCCAGACUCCUACGGGAGGCAGCAGUGGGGAAUAUUGCACAAUGGGCGAAAGCCUGAUGCAGCAACGCCGCGUGAGCGAUGAAGGCCUUCGGGUCGUAAAGCCCUGUCCUCAAGGAAGAUAAUGACGGUACUUGAGGAGGAAGCCCCGGCUAACUACGUGCCAGCAGCCGCCGUAA